GGACGGGUAGCUGAGACAGUUCAAGCGUCGGCCUGAAAAGCCGAAGAGGGUGGUGCGAGUCCACCACCGUCCA
rnacentral:tRNA from 1 species